rnacentral:rRNA from 1 species
CGCUGGCGGCGUGCCUAAUACAUGCAAGUCCAACGAAUCUUCUUCGGAAGAUGAGUGGCGAACGGGUGAGUAAUACAUAGGUAACCUGCCCCUGUGCGGGGGAUAACAGGAGGAAACUCCUGCUAAUACCGCAUAGCCAUGAGCACCGCAUGGAGCUCAUGCCAAAUAUCCUUCAGGGGAUAGCGCAGGGAUGGACCUAUGGCGCAUUAGCUAGUUGGCGGGGCAACGGCCCACCAAGGCAACGAUGCGUAGCCGGCCUGAGAGGGCGGACGGCCACAUUGGGACUGAGACACGGCCCAGACUCCUACGGGAGGCAGCAGUAGGGAAUUUUCGGCAAUGGGGGAGACCCUGACCGAGCAACGCCGCGUGAGCGAAGAAGGCCUUCGGGUCGUAAAGCUCUGUUGUAAAGGAAGAACGUCGCAUGCAGGAAAUGGUGUGCGAGUGACGGUACUUUACCAGAAAGCCACGGCUAACUACGUGCCAGCAGCCGCGGUAAUACGUAGGUGGCGAGCGUUAUCCGGAAUCAUUGGGCGUAAAGAGGGAGCAGGCGGCCGCAAGGGUCUGUGGUGAAAGACCGAAGCUAAACUUCGGUAAGCCAUGGAAACCGGGCGGCUAGAGUGCGGAAGAGGAUCGUGGAAUUCCAUGUGUAGCGGUGAAAUGCGUAGAUAUAUGGAGGAACACCAGUGGCGAAGGCGACGGUCUGGGCCGCAACUGACGCUCAUUCCCGAAAGCGUGGGGAGCAAAUAGGAUUAGAUACCCUAGUAGUCCACGCCGUAAACGAUGGUCACUAAGUGUCGGGGGUCAAACCC